rnacentral:ncRNA from 2 species
GUUUCGCGGCCCGGGCCUUGUAACGUUCUGAUCGGCGUAGGGAACACCGGUGCGAAUCCGGGGCUGUCCCGCAACUGUCACCGAGGAGCAAACCGCCAGUUCAUGGCCACGACCUGCCCAGGUUGGAAGGCCGGCGGUGCGCGUCGAAUCGGGAGCCAGGAUACCUGCGCCGCGGUAAGGGACGAA